GACGAACGCUGGCGGCGUGCUUAACACAUGCAAGUCGAACGAUGAAGUUCCUUCGGGAAUGGAUUAGUGGCGAACGGGUGAGGAACACGUGAGAAACCUGCCUUUCAUUUUGGGAUAACUCCGGGAAACCGGGGCUAAAACCGAAUACUCCGUCUCGGCGGCAUAGCUGAGCCGGGAAAAAAUUUUGAUGAAAGAUGGUCUCGCGGCCUAUCAGCUGGUUGGUGAGGUAAUGGCUCACCAAGGCAACGACGGGUAGCCGGCCUGAGAGGGCGAACGGCCACACUGGGACUGAGACACGGCCCAGACUCCUACGGGAGGCAGCAGUGGGGAAUAUUGGGCAAUGGGCGCAAGCCUGACCAGCGACGCCGCGUGAGGGAUGAAGGCCUUCGGGUUGUAAACCUCUUUCAGUAGGGAAGAAGCGAAAGUGACGGUACCUAAAGAAGAAGCACCGGCUAACUAUGUGCCAGCCGCCGCGGUAA
rnacentral:rRNA from 1 species